rnacentral:lncRNA from 1 species
UUUGUUCCCGUGAUGUUCUUAUGGUUGUUCUUUUCCAAUUUUAGGCAAUCAGUACAUUUCCUCUGUGUCUUCCCUCUCGGCUUUGAGAGGGGAAGGGGAAUGGAGGGGAAGGCGAGAUCUUCCUCUUUUGCAUCUCUUUAUUAUUAAUUAUGCUGAACCAUGCUCCCUUCGAGGUAAAUUACAUAGCCCUUGAGAGCGCUUUGUCUUUUGAUUGAUAAGAUUAGGUCAAGAUGUGCUUUGCGCUACCAUCCAAUGAUGCUCUCAUUUCUCUUAGCAUCAGACAUGAUUCUCAAUAGUUACUGCUCUUAGUAAAUCUCAGAGUUAUAGUCUUGUGGAUCCUAAUUUCUUUUGAACUUACUGAGAUUUUAUCUAAUAUUGACCUUUUUGUAGGAUCUUUUUUCUUAACUUGUUUUUUUAAAGAUACAUUGAAUAGUGGAUGAUCCGAUGACAACGAGGUUGCUUCUCUGAGACCUGGGUGUCAAGUGUUGACAUGGAAAUAGGUUCUCCACUUGCAAAGCUAGAGUUUCAUACUUUCACCCUCAGGGAGCCUGAAUUAGUGGGAGCUUUGUCCAAUAGAUGCCCCUUUUAAGUUGUAUUGAACUGAACUCAAACUGAAUGAUAUGUUUAAGAGCGCUGAAGCACAAUCAAGGAAAUGUGUUUCUUCUAUUGAUAAGCGAUGCAAGAGAGAAGUCAUUGAUUAUAUGCAUUAUCCUAGUCCAUGGUCCAUUGGUUAGAAUAUGUCCCGGACAUAUUCGGGUUUCAGUUUGUCUUCCGGAUUUGAAAUCAGUUGUAUGAUUCUAUCAAAUACACUUCUACGCUUGUAUAUUACUAAGCCCGACACCUUACUACACAUGUAUGGGUUCCCCUGAAUUGCCCUCUUGCUGUCCAAUUUUAGCUUGUCAUCAAAAAUACUUGGUUUUGCCCGUAACUAUGAAGGAGACUAACAAUAGCAGUUUAUGUAAGGGUUAGGGUAGCUUUAUGUUCUAAUGAUCUGCUCAAUCCUCUGUUACCUUCAUCUUGUCAAACUCAUCACAUAUGUUCUUUCGGGUGCACUGAUGUUAACAUUUCAUACUUCAUAGUCUUGCCUAUGUAUUCUAAGGCUUCUCCUUGAUAAAUAACUCCAUAGGUUUUGUAAUAGAUUUAUUUCAACAGUUACGAACUCGGUCUUCUUUCAAUAUUGUCAUAACAGACACAUACAUAAGUAGUUACAGUUAGAAAAUACCAUCAUUUGGAUCUGCCUUUUACAAUGACAACAAGAUUAAGCCAUAAAAUUAUAAAAAUCUAUCUGUUAAUUCAUUUAUGGUAAUAUAUGACAGCUCACAUUAUCUAUUUUACCUCUUCUUAGAUAUGGUAGUUGCUUAUGCCUCUGCCUAAUGUUACAUUUCUUGCUAGUUAUGAUGUAAUAUCUUACAAUACAACAAAAUAUCCUCUUUUAACAUAACACAAUGUAAUUUUUUCUGCAUUAGGAACUAGUAGGAAAUGCANNNNNNNNNNNNNNNNNNNNAAAAUCUAUCUGUUAAUUUCAUUUAUGGUAAUAUAUGACAGCUCACAUUAUCUAUUUUACCUCUUCUUAGAUAUGGUAGUUGCUUAUGCCUCUGCCUAAUGUUACAUUUCUUGCUAGUUAUGAUGUAAUAUCUUACAAUACAACAAAAUAUCCUCUUUUAACAUAACACAAUGUAAUUUUUUCUGCAUUAGGAACUAGUAGGAAAUGCAACAUGAGGCUAGAGGUAUAAGCAACUAUCAAAUCUAUGUAUAGAUAAAAUAGACAAUGUGAGCUACCUUAUAUUACCAUAAAUGAACUAACAAAUGGAUUGUUAUUAUUUUAUGAUUUAAUUUUGUUGUCAUGUAAAAGACAUCCCAAUGAUGAUAGUUUCUAACUGUAACUACUUACGUUUAUGUCUGUUAUGACCAUCUUAAAAUAAGACUAAGUUCAUAACUAUUGAAAUAAAUCUAUUACAAAACUUAUAGAGUUAUUUAUCAAGGAGAGACCGUAGAAUACAUAGACCAGGAAGUAUGAAAUGUUGACGUCAAUGCACUCGAAGAAACAUAUUUGGUGAGUUUGACAAGAUGAAGGGAUUUAGCAAAUCAUUAGAACAUAAAGCUACCCUAACCCUUACAUAAGCUGCUACUGUUGGUCUCUUUUGUGGUUACAGGCAGAACCAAGUAUUUCAGAACAUAAAACUAUAUUUUCUAUUUUAGCAUUUCAUUUCCUACUAGUUCCUACAGUUUCUGUGCUGCUGCAAAUUUGUUGUGUUGAAAGAGGAUACUCUGCAUCAUGCAUGUUAAUGAAAUGUAUAUGUGAGUUCAUUUUAGGUAUUCUCCCCAUGCCAUUUUGCGCGGCAAUGCAUUGAUCAUUCUCACACCAACAGCUUAAUUGCUGUAUCUUGUGCCUUCUCCUUUUCCUCAAAAAAAAAAAAUAUUUGUAGUACAUAUUAAGAAAAAGAUCCUGAAGGCUGACAACAUUUGUUACUCCCAGCUAAAGACAGGGCUUUAUGUGCAGACUGUGGACAUCAUGCAAGGAUUUUUCUUAUGGUUAGUUGGUUCAUAAAAAUGCUUUCUGGAGCUGCUGGUAAAAUUUCAACUCUGACAGAAGGAUUUACAUUACCCAUAGGAUACUCGUACCACAACAUGGUCGUAAAAUUGCAAGUGGAUUAAUCUGGCACUAUAUUCACAAGCCCAUUCAACACUUUUUAAGACAUGAUCAUAAAAUGG